rnacentral:rRNA from 1 species
GCGUGAGGAACCUGCCUCAAAGAGGGGACAACAGUUGGAAACGACUGCUAAUACCGCAUAAGCCCACGGGUCGGCAUCGACCAGAGGGAAAAGGAGCAAUCCGCUUUGAGAUGGCCUCGCGUCCGAUUAGCUAGUUGGUGAGGUAAUGGCCCACCAAGGCAACGAUCGGUAGCCGGACUGAGAGGUUGAACGGCCACAUUGGGACUGAGACACGGUCCAAACUCCUACGGGAGGCAGCAUG